GAGUUUGAUCUUGGCUCAGAUUGAACGCUGGCGGCAUGCCUUACACAUGCAAGUCGAACGGCAGCAUGAUCUAGCUUGCUAGAUUGAUGGCGAGUGGCGAACGGGUGAGUAAUACAUCGGAACGUGCCCUGUAGUGGGGGAUAACUAGUCGAAAGAUUAGCUAAUACCGCAUACGACCUGAGGGUGAAAGUGGGGGACCGCAAGGCCUCAUGCUAUAGGAGCGGCCGAUGUCUGAUUAGCUAGUUGGUGGGUAAAGGCCCACCAAGGCGACGAUCAGUAGCUGGUCUGAGAGGACGAUCAGCCACACUGGGACUGAGACACGGCCCAGACUCCUACGGGAGGCAGCAGUGGGGAAUUUUGGACAAUGGGCGAAAGCCUGAUCCAGCAAUGCCGCGUGUGUGAAGAAGGCCU
rnacentral:rRNA from 1 species